GUGUGUGUUUGUGUGUCCAGUGUUGCUUGAGUGGAGCUCGACGGGAUAAACAUGCGCUAGUUAUUAUAUUCUCUUAUAAUACGAUCAUAAGUCUUCCUAAAGGCGCUUUAACAUGGAGGCGGAUGAUGGCGCGCGUAUCCGCAGUGAAGACGUCCUUCCACAGAACCAGGACCUGAGUUUUGUGCUGUCUUCUGGUGUAGCUUUGCUGU